UACGUAGGGUGCAAGCGUUGUCCGGAAUUAUUGGGCGUAAAGAGCUCGUAGGCGGUCUGUCGCGUCGGCUGUGAAAUCCCGAGGCUCAACCUCGGGUCUGCAGUCGAUACGGGCAAACUAGAGUAUUGCGGGGGAGACUGGAAUUCCUGGUGUAGCGGUGAAAUGCGCAGAUAUCAGGAGGAACACCGGUGGCGAAGGCGGGUCUCUGGGCAACAACUGACGCUGAGGAGCGAAAGCGUGGGGAGCGAACAGG
rnacentral:rRNA from 1 species